rnacentral:rRNA from 1 species
AGCGAACGCUGGCGGUAGGCCUAACACAUGCAAGUCGAACGGCAGCACAGUAAGUGCUUGCUCUUACGGGUGGCGAGUGGCGGACGGGUGAGGUAUACAUCGGACUCUACUUUUUCGUGGGGGCUAACGUAGGGAAAUUUACGCUAAUAUCGCAUACGACCUACGGGUGAAAGCAGGGGAUCUUCGGACCUUGCGCGAUUGAAUGCGCCGAUGUCGGAUUAGCUAGUUGGCGGGGUAAAGGCCCACCAAGGCGACGAUCCGUAGCUGGUCUGGGAGAAGGGUCGGCCACACGAGAACGGAGACACGGUCCAGACUCCUACGAGAGGCAGCAGAGGGGAAUAUUGGACAAUGGGGGCAAGCCUUAUCCAGCCAUACCGCGUGGGAGGAGAAGACCUUCGGGUUGGAAAGCCCUUUUGUUGGGAAAGAAAAGCAGCAGGUUAAGACCCCGCUGUACUGACGGUACCCAAAGAAGAAGCACCGGCUAACUUCGUG